AAGAUGGGCACAAAUACUUGGU
rnacentral:siRNA from 1 species